CCGAGUGCUAAGUUAUUUUUAUUGGACUUGUAGAUUGCACCAGACUGGAGGCAGGCAUUGACACUGAAAAAAACGGCUGAAGAUCGAAUUGCUAAAGAUGGUGUGAUUGGCAUAGGCAUUGCUGCAACUGCUGUUGGACUCUUAGUAGGUGGGAUUGCUGCUGCGAUGGCUCGUAAGAAGUGAUGGAACUCCUUAACCCAACUAUGUGCAUAACUACUUAACUACCAUGAUGGCUUUCUCUCUGUUGGAUUGAUAUGUUCAAGAUUUGAGGUCCUUGUGUGAUGCACUUGAAUCAAUUUUGGAGUUUUAGAUGGUACACUAGUCUAAAUAAAGUAUGUAAAAAAAAAUUAGACAGUUAAGGGUGGUAAGUUUCAUGAUUCA